rnacentral:lncRNA from 1 species
AUGAAAGUUUUGCAAAAGCUUUUUCUUCUUCUUUGUUCUUACAAGUCAUUAUUUACAGAUACUAUUACAGUACUGGGGACCAGGAACAGCCAUCCCUGCCUUUGUCACUGCAGGCUAUUGAUACAUACUACGAAAAACUACAUAAGACAACCCAGCUGGAAAUCAGAGCUGAAGAAUAAUAAACCAGCUUGUCUGAAUUAAAAUGACAUCUUGACCCUUCUGGAGUUCAUGGGAAUUUCACUGUUGAGAGUAAGGAGUGCCUGUUGCAACUGAAUCCCACGAGAUACUGCAAAUGUGAAUGUACUGUCGCAAAAGUGUACUGGUUCGUUGCUUGAACAAACCAAGACCUUCUGCUCGAGAGGAACCCUGAAUCUACCAGCCACGUGAGGGCAGCAAAGACUCAA